CGUGCCUAAGGUAUGCAAGUCGAAUGCCGAUUUAUCGGCAUGGCAGACGGCUGAGUAACACAUGGGAAUCUACCUCAAACUCGAGAAUAGCCCAUCGAAAGGUGGUGUAAUACUCGAUAGUUCCGUUUACGGUAAAGCUCCGGCGGUUUGAGAUGAGCCCAUGUCCUAUCAGGUUGUUGGUGGGGUAAUUGCCUACCAAGCCUAUGACGGGUAGCUGGUUUGAGAGGAUGAUCAGCCAGACUGGGACUGCGAUACGGCCCAGACUCCUACGGGAGGCAGCAACUAGGAAUCAUGCGCAAUGGACGAAAGUCUGACGCUGCGACGUCGCGUGAGGGAUGAAGGUCUUCGGAUCGUAAACCUCUUUUAUCUGGGAACAAGUUCUGAGUGUACCAGAUGAAUAAGUGCCUGCCAACCACGUGCCAGAAGCAUCGGUAAUGCGUGGGGCACGAGCGUUAUCCGGAUUUACUGGGCGUAAAGAGAUGCGUAGGCGCCUUUUUAAGUCACUUGUAAAAUCUCCCCGCUCAACGGGGAAACUGCAAGUGAUACUGAAUUGGUUGAGUCAAGUAGAGGAGAGGGGAAUUCCUGGUGGAGCGGUUAAAUGCGUUGAUAUCAGGAGGAAUACCAAGUGCGAAGGCACCUCUCUGGACUUGUACUGACGCUAAGGCUCGAAAGUGUGGGGAGCAAAACGGAUUAGAUACCCGUGUAGUCCACACUGUAAACGAUCCCUGCUAGAUGUUUG
rnacentral:rRNA from 1 species